AUGAACGCUGGCGGCGUGCCUAAUACAUGCAAGUCGCGCGAAUAGACGAGGAGCUUGCUCCUCUGACGUUAGCGGCGGACGGGUGAGUAACACGUGGAUAACCUACCUAUAAGACUGGGAUAACUUCGGGAAACCGGAGCUAAUACCGGAUAAUAUAUUGAACCGCAUGGUUCAAUAGUGAAAGACGGUUUUGCUGUCACUUAUAGAUGGAUCCGCGCCGCAUUAGCUAGUUGGUAAGGUAACGGCUUACCAAGGCGACGAUGCGUAGCCGACCUGAGAGGGUGAUCGGCCACACUGGAACUGAGACACGGUCCAGACUCCUACGGGAGGCAGCAGUAGGGAAUCUUCCGCAAUGGGCGAAAGCCUGACGGAGCAACGCCGCGUGAGUGAUGAAGGUCUUCGGAUCGUAAAACUCUGUUAUUAGGGAAGAACAAAUGUGUAAGUAACUAUGCACGUCUUGACGGUACCUAAUCAGAAAGCCACGGCUAACUACGUG
rnacentral:rRNA from 1 species